AGAGAAAUGCUAAUAACAAUUGCUCAAACACUCUCUUUUGAGCACUUGCCCAACCAUUGGGCCACGUCACUUAAAAAAAAUAAAAAAAAAUUUUCUACAAACCUGUUAACCGGCUAUGCUGGUUUAGAAAAUUGAUUUCUAUUCACUGGGUUUUUCAAGCACAACCCCAAAUCUCAAGAAGACAACAACUAAAAGGAAACAUGUUGCUCUGCUUCACGUAUUACACAGUCAGUUUUUUUUUUUUUGUUGCUUUCUUCACCUUAUCUCAUGAAUCAACAUCAACUACCCUACGCCCUAACUGGCCAAAGAAGGGAUAUAUUAUUCAUGAAAUUCAUGUAAUCUUCAAAAAUAUUGGUUUAAGAAACCAUAGAGAAUGUUGCAGUAACGUUCAGUUUAUGUAAUUGUUUCUGAAAAUAGCAAACAUAUAUUAUGUCAUCAUCUACAUCUGUAAAAUUCAAUAUAAAUGCUACAUGAAAAAAAAAGUUAGAAUGAAAAGGACCAAUUUUUAUUGAGAAAUCAUUUAAGGAAGGGGAAAGGGGCGGUAUUGUAUGAGGCAAUUGAUGGGUGAGGUUGAAGGAUACUGACGGCGGUGUUAAUCUUCAGUUUAAGAGAGAUAAAGAGAUGACGUAAAAGGGGAAAAAGGAUGAACAGGUAGCCAAUUGCACUGUUUAAGAAAG
rnacentral:lncRNA from 1 species